GUCAUGUCUUCGAGCCCAUCUUCCUGUGGCGCUGCUAUGGAAUUUGGGCCGCGCCGGAGCUUCCGGUUCAGGGCGCGGCUGGAAACGGCCGCACCUUCCGCAUUUGAAAAGGAGACAUGGC
rnacentral:ncRNA from 1 species